UACGUAGGGUGCAAGCGUUGUCCGGAAUUAUUGGGCGUAAAGAGCUCGUAGGCGGUCUGUUACGUCGGCUGUGAAAACCUGGGGCUCAACCCCGGGCCUGCAGUGGGUACGGGCAGACUAGAGUGCGGUAGGGGAGACUGGAAUUCCUGGUGUAGCGGUGAAAUGCGCAGAUAUCAGGAGGAACACCGGUGGCGAAGGCGGGUCUCUGGGCCGUAACUGACGCUGAGGAGCGAAAGCGUGGGGAGCAAACAGG
rnacentral:rRNA from 1 species